GGGGUCAUACCUGCAGUCGAGGGGCAGCAUAAUUACUUGUAAUUUGAUGGCGACCGGCGAACGGGUGCGUAACGCGUAUGCAACUUACCUUUUACUAGAGAAUAGCCAAGAGAAAUUUUGAUUAAUGCUCUAUGUUCUUAUUUACUCGCAUGAGUAAAUAAGCAAAGCUCCGGCGGUAAAAGAUGGGCAUGCGUCCUAUUAGCUUGUAGGUGAGGUAAUGGCUCACCUAAGCUCCGAUAGGUAGGGGUCCUGAGAGGGAGAUCCCCCACACUGGUACUGAGACACGGACCAGACUUCUACGGAAGGCAGCAGUAAGGAAUAUUGGACAAUGGAGGCAACUCUGAUCCAGCCAUGCCGCGUGAAGGAAGACGGACUUAUGGGUUGUAAACUUCUUUUAUACAGGAAGAAACCUUUCUACGUGUGGAAAGCUGACGGUACUGUAAGAAUAAGGAUCGGCUAACUCCGUGCCAGCAGCCGCGGUAAUACGGAGGAUCCAAGCGUUAUCCGGAAUUAUUGGGUUUAAAGGGUCCGCAGGCUGUUUGUUAAGUCAGAGGUGAAAUCCUACCGCUCAACGGUAGAACUGCCUUUGAUACUGGCAAACUUGAGUUAUUGUAAAGUAGUUAGAAUGUGUAGUGUUGCGGGGGAAAUGCAUAGAUAUUACACGGAAUACCGAUUGCGAAAGCAGUUACUAACAUAUACUGACCUGAGGGAGAAAGGUGG
rnacentral:rRNA from 1 species